GGCUUAAUACAUGCAAGUCGAGGGGCAUCGGGUGUAGCAAUACAUGCCGGCGACCGGCGCACGGGUGCGUAACACGUAUACAAUCUGCCUUUAACAGGAGGAUAGCCCGGAGAAAUCCGGAUUAAUACUCCAUAAUAGAUUUUCCGGCAUCGGAAGAUUUUGAAAGCUCCGGCGGUUAAAGAUGAGUAUGCGUCUGAUUAGCUAGUUGGUAGUGUAACGGACUACCAAGGCAACGAUCAGUAGGGGAUCUGAGAGGACUACCCCCCACACCGGUACUGAGACACGGACCAGACUCCUACGGGAGGCAGCAGUAAGGAAUAUUGGACAAUGCCCGCAAGGGUGAUCCAGCCAUGCCGCGUGCAGGAAGAAGGCCCUAUGGGUCGUAAACUGC
rnacentral:rRNA from 1 species